GGUUCCAUAGUGUAGCGCUUAGCACGUCUGCUUUACACGCAGAAAUCCCUGGGUUUGUGCCCCAGUGGAGCCA
rfam:Pteropus alecto contig6399, whole genome shotgun sequence.